AUUGAACGCUGGCGGAAUGCUUUACACAUGCAAGUCGAACGGCAGCACGGGAGCUUGCUCCUGGUGGCGAGUGGCGAACGGGUGAGUAAUAUAUCGGAACGUAUCCAAUAAUGGGGGAUAACUAGUCGAAAGAUUAGCUAAUACCGCAUACGCCCUGAGGGGGAAAGCUGGGGAUCUUCGGACCUAGCGUUAAUGGAGCGGCCGAUAUCUGAUUAGCUAGUAGGUGAGGUAAAGGCUCACCUAGGCGACGAUCAGUAGCUGGUCUGAGAGGACGACCAGCCACACUGGAACUGAGACACGGUCCAGACUCCUACGGGAGGCAGCAGUGGGGAAUUUUGGACAAUGGGGGCAACCCUGAUCCAGCCAUUCCGCGUGAGUGAAGAAGGCCUUCGGGUUGUAAAGCUCUUUCGCAAGGGAAGAAAACUUAGUCUCUAACAUAGACUGAGGUUGACGGUACCUUGAUAAGAAGCACCGGCUAACUACGUGCCAGCAGCCGCGGUAAUACGUAGGGUGCGAGCGUUAAUCGGAAUUACUGGGCGUAAAGCGUACGCAGGCGGCCUGAUAAGUCAGAUGUGAAAUCCCCGAGCUCAACUUGGGAACUGCGUUUGAAACUAUCAAGCUAGAAUAUGUCAGAGGGGGGUAGAAUUCCACGUGUAGCAGUGAAAUGCGUAGAGAUGUGGAGGAAUACCAAUGGCGAAGGCAGCCCCCUGGGAUAAUAUUGACGCUCAUGCACGAAAGCGUGGGGAGCAAACAGGAUUAGAUACCCUGGUAGUCCACGCCCUAAACGAUGUCUACUAGUUGUUGGUGGAGUAAAAUCCGUGAGUAACGCAGCUAACGCGUGAAGUAGACCGCCUGGGGAGUACGGUCGCAAGAUUA
rnacentral:rRNA from 1 species